UGUAGGCCGGGUGAUUGAGCCGCGAAAUGAACAGUUCCAGGGCGCCGACACGUUCAGAUCCGUGGAAGGCAACACCGCCGGGAGCGUUAGUCGCGAGUUCCCGGUGGGCCCGGCGCGGUCAGACCU
rnacentral:misc_RNA from 1 species